rnacentral:rRNA from 1 species
UACGGGGGGGGGCAAGCGUUGUUCGGAAUUACUGGGCGUAAAGGGCGCGUAGGCGGCCUACUAAGUCGGACGUGAAAUCCCUCGGCUCAACCGGGGAACUGCGUCCGAUACUGGUGGGCUUGAAUCCGGGAGAGGGAUGUGGAAUUCCAGGUGUAGCGGUGAAAUGCGUAGAUAUCUGGAGGAACACCGGUGGCGAAGGCGGCAUCCUGGACCGGUAUUGACGCUGAGGCGCGAAAGCCAGGGGAGCAAACGGG